UCCCAUUUCAAAAAAUUUCCCAAAUCUUUCCCUCUUUUAAUUACACUAUGCCUCAAGGUUUUCUCUUUUCAACAAUUCGGCUGAACUGCCUUCUUCCCUGUGACUUCCUUUCGCUUCAAUUGCUUCAGGCUUGAAGGAUGACAGGGGUUUUUCUGAAGGGAAGUAUCUUUUUGGGCAAAUUAACUUUAGAAUGCCGCUACUCGUAUUAAGAUUUGGUUUAAAGGAUUGAUGUGCUUGCAUGAUGACACUGGGGUUGUUAGUUCCUCUAGAAAUGAGAUAUUGAGUUCCAGCAUAGUGAUAUGCAGAGUGAGUCUGCUUCACUCAUGGGAGGAAGAGUAUCACGAGGUGACAACAAUACAGAUCACCAAGCAAAUACAUGUCACUUUUAUAUAUUUAUUUAUUGUUGACCUACUCUAGAUUGUAAAAUGUUCAAGCUAUCAUAUACCGUAUGUAUUGUAUGAACUUGAAUUUGUGAUGUUGGUUUGUUUAGAUACUUUUAAUGGAAUUAGAUUU